rnacentral:rRNA from 1 species
UACGGAGGGGGCGAGCGUUAUUCGGAAUUAUUGGGCGUAAAGGGCACGUAGGCGGCUUGGUAAGUCAAAGGUGAAAUCCCUCGGCUCAACCGAGGAAUUGCCUUUGAAACUACCUGGCUUGAGGCCGGGAGGGGGUAGCGGAAUUCCCAGCGUAGCGGUGAAAUGCGUAGAUACUGGGAGGAACACCGGUGGCGAAGGCGGCUACCUGGACCGGUUCUGACGCUGAUGCGCGAAAGCGUGGGGAGCAAACAGG